AAACCAGUUUUGGGAAAAAUGGGCAGUUGAGUUCGGCCAAUUUAUCUAUGGUUUCCUCAACAAUCAUUUUUCCCACAUGUUAUCA
rnacentral:pre_miRNA from 1 species